GACAUCGUGAGGUGGAAUCUGAAGGAAGGGGCAGGCAAAUUUCUGACCUGACAAAGAGAAUCCGCAUAAGGCCAAUUUGAGAUGGAUAAGGUCGCCAAACAGAUUAAAGUCCCAUAGCGAUUUGGAAUCCCAAAGGGUAGAUGCGGCAGGUGAAGGGAGAAAAAGAGUGCGUU
rfam:Acidaminococcus sp. D21 cont1.23, whole genome shotgun sequence.